CCUACGGGUGGCUGCAGUGAGGAAUAUUGGUCAAUGGGCGCGAGCCUGAACCAGCCAAGUAGCGUGAAGGAUGACUGCCCUACGGGUUGUAAACUUCUUUUAUAAAGGCAUAAAGUGAGGCACGUGUGCCUUUUUGUAUGUACUUUAUGAAUAAGGAUCGGCUAACUCCGUGCCAGCAGCCGCGGUAAUACGGAGGAUCCGAGCGUUAUCCGGAUUUAUUGGGUUUAAAGGGAGCGUAGGUGGGUUGUUAAGUCAGUUGUGAAAGUUUGCGGCUCAACCGUAAAAUUGCAGUUGAAACUGGCAGCCUUGAGUACAGUUGAGGUGGGCGGAAUUCGUGGUGUAGCGGUGAAAUGCUUAGAUAUCACGAAGAACUCCGAUUGCGAAGGCAGCUUACUGGACUGCCACUGACACUGAGGCUCGAAAGUGUGGGUAUCAAACAGGAUUAGAUACCCUAGUAGUC
rnacentral:rRNA from 1 species